rnacentral:lncRNA from 1 species
GAAGAAAUAAAAAAAUAAAAUAAAAGGAAAGUAAAUAAAAAUAAAAACAUAUUUAAAACUAACUUAACUCUAAAAACAAAUUGGGCCUAAGCCCAAGUGGUCAGGGGUAUGAAAAUGAAAAUAAGGGGCUGCAAGGAGGAAAAUCGAAUGGGCUUAAGCCCAAGAAGGAUGGGGUGCGAUCCAGCAGAAUAAGGGGGUGCAGAAAAGGUUUUUGUUUGUUUGUUUUUUUGGUUGGCCCAGUGGCCCAAAAAGAAAAUAAAGGGGCGGCGAAAAUGUGAAACGGGGGGUGCCAGAGGAAAGUGUUGUUUUUUUUUUUGGUAGACCCAGAUCCGGCCCAGGAUCCUACCCUAACUCAGAAAAUC